rnacentral:lncRNA from 1 species
AGACGCCCCAGGGGCCGACUUAAACUCUGGUAGAGCCCGAGUUCGCUGGAAUUCUCAGAUUCGAAGAAAUGCACACGCCUGCGGUGCUCGCAGAGAAGUCCCUCGGAAGCUAGGCGGGUCGCUUUCGCAACUGGGACUCCAAUGUUCCCAGUGGGAGCGGAGCUCUCACCGCGGCAGCCCCCAGGUUCCCCUAGGCGCCUUAGAGCAAAGGUGGCGGGGGAUCGCGCUGCCCUUCGCCCGCCGGCUCGGAACCAUGAACUUGUAUUCCGGGCGCCGCGCUCCUGCCACAGUGCUCGGCUAAAGAGCUCUAAGGAAUUCGGGAUCUGGGUACACUUCGGGAUCUCAGGCGGCAACCUGUCUGCGCCGCGCAUUCCUGCCCAGAUGUACCUUGUUUCCCCCUGGGCUGGCCUGUGGACUCUUGGGCAGCUCCCGGGCGGGGACGAGGGGAUGCGGUCUGGGGGCUAGUUUAGAAGCUUCGAGCGCAGCGAGAAAACAAAGGGAGCCUGGGGCUGGGAGGCUCUGCGGAGUCCCCGCCCGCCCUGCAGAUUAGCAGGCGCGUCGCGUCGGGGCUUCCCGGGCAGCUCUGCUCUGGGGAAUUAGAACGAACUCUAGCGGCCGUUUGCAACUCGGCUGUGGGCGCGAGGGCAUCAACAGGUGGCCGUGUGCAGCGGAGAGGCCAAUGGCGAGGACCCGGACUGGGGGUCCUGCUGCCAUGCUGUGAGAAGCCGAAGUUUCAUGGAGAGGCCACAUGGAGUGAAAACAAAGGUGAUAGGGACAAUAGCUCCACCUGAGAUCCUGAUUAAUACACAGACUUUAGCCAUCUUGGAUGCUCCAGCCUAAUCGAUCUCCCACUUGACUCUAGUCUCACCUGACAUUAUGUAGAGGAAAACCAUCCAGCUCCACCUAGUCAACCCACAGAAUAAUGAGAUGAUCAUAAGACUGUAGUU